AUGCAGAGGGAGAACAGCCUGUGUCUUCUGUGUCCACUUGCAGAGGGAGAACAGCCUCUUCUGUGUCCACAUGCAGAGGGAGAACAGCCUGUGUCUUCUGUGUCCACUUGCAGAGGGAGAACAGCCUCUGUCUUCUGUGUCCACUUGCAGAGGGAGAACAGCCUCUGUCUUCUGUGUCCACUUGCAGAGGGAGAACAGCCUCUGUCUUCUGUGUCCACUUGCAGCGGGAGAACAGCCUGUGUCUUCUGUGUCCACUUGCAGAGGGAGAACAGCCUGUGUCUUCUGUGUCCACUUGCAGAGGGAGAACAGCCUCUGCCUUCUGUGUCCACUUGCAGAGGGAGAACAGUGUGUCUUCUGCGUCCACUUGCAGAGGGAGAACAGCCUGUGUCUUCUGUGUCCACUUGCAGAGGGAGAACAGCCUGUGUCUUCUGUGUCCACUUGCAGAGGGAGAACAGCCUGUGUCUUCUGUGUCCACUUGCAGAGGGAGAACAGCCUGUGUCUUCUGUGUCCACUUGCAGAGGGAGAACAGCCUGUGUCUUCUGUGUCCACUUGCAGAGGGAGAACAGCCUGUGUCUUCUGUGUCCACUUGCAGAGGGAGAACAGCCUGUGUCUUCUGUGUCCACUUGCAGAGGGAGAACAGCCUGUGUCUUCUGUGUCCACUUGCAGAGGGAGAACAGCCUCUUCUGUGUCCACUUGCAGAGGGAGAACAGCCUGUGUCUUCUGUGUCCACUUGCAGAGGGAGAACAACCUCAGUCUUCUGUGUCCACUUGCAGAGGGAGAACAACCUCUUCUGCGUCCACUUGCAGAGGGAGAACAGCCUGUGUCUUCUGUGUCCACUUGCAGAGGGAGAACAGCCUGUGUCUUCUGUGUCCACUUGCAGAGGGAGAACAACCUCAGUCUUCUGUGUCCACUUGCAGAGGGAGAACAACCUCUUCUGUGUCCACUUGCAGAGGGAGAACAGCCUCUUCUAUGUCCACUUGCAGAGGGAGAACAACCUCAGUCUUCUGUGUCCACUUGCAGAGGGAGAACAACCUCUUCUGUGUCCACUUGCAGAGGGAGAACAGCCUCUUCUGUGUCCACUUGCAGAGGGAGAACAGCCUGUGUCUUCUGUGUCCACUUGCAGAGGGAGAACAGCCUGUGUCUUCUGUGUCCACUUGCAGAGGGAGAACAACCUCUUCUGUGUCCACUUGCAGAGGGAGAACAGCCUCUUCUGUGUCCACUUGCAGAGGGAGAACAGCCUGUGUCUUCUGUGUCCACUUGCAGAGGGAGAACAGCCUCUUCUGUGUCCACUUGCAGAGGGAGAACAGCCUCUUCUGUGUCCACUUGCAGAGGGAGAACAGCCUGUGUCUUCUGUGUCCACUUGCAGAGGGAGAACAGCCUGUGUCUUCUGUGUCCACUUGCAGAGGGAGAACAGCCUGUGUCUUCUGUGUCCACUUGCAGAGGGAGAACAGCCUGUGUCUUCUGUGUCCACUUGCAGAGGGAGAACAGCCUCUUCUGUGUCCACUUGCAGAGGGAGAACAGCCUGUGUCUUCUGUGUCCACUUGCAGAGGGAGAACAGCCUCUUCUGUGUCCACUUGCAGAGGGAGAACAGCCUGUGUCUUCUGUGUCCACUUGCAGAGGGAGAACAACCUCAGUCUUCUGUGUCCACUUGCAGAGGGAGAACAGCCUCUUCUGCGUCCACUUGCAGAGGGAGAACAGCCUGUGUCUUCUGUGUCCACUUGCAGAGGGAGGACAGCCUGUGUCUUCUGUGUCCACUUGCAGAGGGAGAACAGCCUGUGCCUUCUGUGUCCACUUGCAGAGGGAGAACAGCCUGUGUCUUCUGUGUCCACUUGCAGAGGGAGAACAGCCUGUGUCUUCUGUGUCCACUUGCAGAGGGAGAACAGCCUGUGUCUUCUGUGUCCACUUGCAGAGGGAGAACAGUGUGUCUUCUGUGUCCACUUGCAGAGGGAGAACAGCCUCUGUCUUUGCCUCCUCUUAGAAGGACCCCAGUCCUGUCAGGUUAGGGCUCCACCCUUAUGA
ensembl:lncRNA